GACGAACCGUGCGAACGUUAUUCGGAAUCACUGGGCUUAAAGCGCGUGUAGGCGGGGCGGCACGUCGGUCGCUGAAAUCCCCCGGCUCAACCGGGGAAGGGGCGCCGAUACGACCGGCCUGGAGGGACGUAGGGGGAGCUGGAACUUCCGGUGGAGCGGUGAAAUGCGUUGAGAUCGGAAGGAACGCCCGUGGCGAAAGCGAGCUCCUGGACGUUUACUGACGCUGAGACGCGAAAGCCAGGGGAGCGAACGGG
rnacentral:rRNA from 1 species